ensembl:snoRNA
UUUCCCAUUUUUUUGCUGCUAUAGUCUCACAGUGAUAUGAGCAGCUAUAUGCAUGGUAUAAAAUAAGAUUAGGCCAUUGUAAAUUGAGAUGAAGUAACCACUUUCAUCUCUUCUGCAUGGACUAGGCAUUG